UACGUAGGGUGCGAGCGUUAAUCGGAAUGACUGGGCGUAAAGGGUGCGUAGGCGGUUUGCCAAGACGGAUGUGAAAUCCCCGGGCUUAACCUGGGAAUGGCAUACGUGACUGGUAGGCUAGAGUAUGGCAGAGGGAGAUGGAAUUCCACAUGUAGCAGUGAAAUGCGUAGAGAUGUGGAGGAACACCGAUGGCGAAGGCAGCCUCCUGGGCCAAUACUGACGCUCAGGCACGAAAGCGUGGGGAGCAAACAGG
rnacentral:rRNA from 1 species